AUUGAACGCUGGCGGCAUGCCUUACACAUGCAAGUCGAGCGCGAAAGGGGGCAACCCCGAGUAGAGCGGCGGACGGGUGAGUAACGCAUCGGAACGUACCCAGUAGUGGGGGACAACCUCGAGAAAUCGAGGCUAAUACCGCAUACGACCCACGGGUGAAAGCGGGGGACCGCAAGGCCUCGCGCUAUUGGAGCGGCCGAUGUCCGAUUAGCUAGUUGGCGGGGUAAGAGCCCACCAAGGCGACGAUCGGUAGCUGGUCUGAGAGGACGACCAGCCACACUGGGACUGAGACACGGCCCAGACUCCUACGGAAGGCAGCAGUGGGGAAUUUUGGACAAUGGGGGCAACCCU
rnacentral:rRNA from 1 species